CCUACGGGCGGCAGCAGUGGGGAAUAUUGCACAAUGGGGGAAACCCUGAUGCAGCGACGCCGCGUGAGUGAAGAAGUAUUUCGGUAUGUAAAGCUCUAUCAGCAGGGAAGAAGAAAGACGGUACCUGACUAAGAAGCCCCGCCUAACUACGGGCCAGCAGCCGCGGAAAUACGUAGGGGGCAAGCGUUAUCCGGAUUUACUGGGUGUAAAGGGAGCGUAGACGGCUGUGCAAGUCAGAGGUGAAAGCCCAGGGCUCAACCCUGGGACUGCUUUGGAAACUGUGUUGCUAGAGUGCUGGAGAGGUAAGUGGAAUUCCUAGUGUAGCGGUAAAAUGCGUAGAUAUUAGGAGGAACACCAGUGGCGAAGGCGACUUACUGGACAGUAACUGACGUUGAGGCUCGAAAGCGUGGGGAGCAAACAGGAUUAGAUACCCUAGUAGUC
rnacentral:rRNA from 1 species